CGACGGGGUGCUCGCGAUUUGUCCGGCCAGCUUGCGGCGAGCCUAAACAACCGCGCUAAACGGCCGUGGCGGAAGCGCG
rnacentral:ncRNA from 2 species